rnacentral:rRNA from 1 species
GGCCCGCACAAGCGGCGGAGCAUGCGGAUUAAUUCGAUGCAACGCGAAGAAACCUUUACCAAGGCUUUGACAUUCCACCGGACCGCACUUGGAGACAGUGCUUUCCCUUUCGGGGCUUGGUGGACAGGUGGUGCAUGGUUGUCGUCAGCUCGUGUCGUGAGAUGUUGGGUUAAGUCCCGCAACGAGCGCAACCCUCGUUUCUAAUGUUGCCAGCACGUGAUGGUGGGGACUCAUAGGAGACUGCCGGG